CAGCAGCCACGGGAAUACGUAGGGUGCGAGCGUUAAUCGGGAUUACUGGGCGUAAAGCGCGCGCAGGCGGUUAUAUAAGUCAGAUGUGAAAUCCCCGGGCUCAACCUGGGAAUGGCAGUGGAUACUGGCAAGCUAGAGUGUGUCAGAGGAUGGUGGAAUUCCCGGUGUAGCGGUGAAAUGCGUAGAGAUCGGGAGGAACAUCAGUGGCGAAGGCGGCCAUCUGGGACAACACUGACGCUGAGGCACGAAAGCGUGGGGAGCAGACAGGAUUAGAGACCCCCGUAGUCCCUGUCUCUUAUAA
rnacentral:rRNA from 1 species